rnacentral:misc_RNA from 1 species
GAUGAAGAACGUAGCGAAAUGCGAUACUUGGUGUGAAUUGCAGAAUCCCGUGAACCAUCGAGUCUUUGAACGCAAGUUGCGCCCGAAGCCAUUAGGCCGAGGGCACGCCUGCCUGGGCGUCACACGUCGUUGCCCCCCCAUCUAAUCCUUCGGGGUUGCGGGGGGCGGAUGAUGGCCUCCCGUGCGCCUCGUCGCGCGGUUGGCAUAAAUGCCAAGUCCUCGGCGACGCACGCCACGACAAUCGGUGGUUGCGAAACCUCGGUUGCCCGUCGUGUGCGGUCGUCGCGCAUCGAGGGCUCGAAAAAAUUGCCGGGCUCCGGCUCGACUUUCAACGCGACCCCAGGUCAGGCGGGGUUACCCGCUGAAUUUAAGCAUAUCAAUAAGCGGAGGA